CGACAAAUUACAUCGAUACGACAGGUAAACACAUGAAAUAAAUAGAUGAAUAAUGAAAAUAAUGAAAUAUAAAUCAAUACCUAUAUGUAUAAUCGAUUGAACCAUAAUUAUAAUUAUAAUUAUAAAUACAUGCAUUAUGCAGGACCACCAAGAAGGUUGAAUCAACCAAUUAAUUCAAUUUAUAAAUAAAAUACGAAGGCAAAGCAAUAAUAUCCGAGAAAAAGUGAAACCAGCAUAAUAAGCAAAAUAAAUAAAAUAAAUAAAAUAAAAUAAAAUAAUGCAAUAAUGCAACGAACAAGGCCAAAACGUCCAAAUGUAACUAACAAAAUCAUUCAUCCCAUUGAAAUAGCGUAUCAUCAAUUAAUAAUAAGAAUAAAUCUAUUUAGCCAACUUAUUCAUUCAAUUCUAAUAAUUUGCUAAUUACCAAUAAUAAACAAAAUAUUAUAUUAUAUCUAUAAGGAAGUUGCCAAUAAUGCCAAUAAUAUUAUAAUGCAGUAAUAUAAAUAGCUGAAUGUGAGUUAACGUAGACUAAAUUGAAUAAAUUGUGUGAUCCCUACAGUGAAACAGGUCGCAAACAUGCGUAAUAGCCAUGAGUGUGACAAAAGCGCACCUUAUAAUAAAGCAUAGCCAGACAACUGCAGUAUUAAAACAUUCAUUGAAACAAUCAUUGAACCGCAGAAACUUUACACCAUGCCAACAGACACAGGGCAUUGUAAAGAAUAGAAUUACAAUUACAAGUUUCACAAAGUUACAUCAAUAGAAAAGAAGGAAAGUAAACUAGCAAUUCAAGAAGACAAUGAUGAAUGAAUGAUGAUUGAAUGAUGAAUGAAUGAUGAAUGAAUGAAUGAAUGAAUGAAUGAAUGAAUGAAUGAAUCAAGGAAGAGCGAACAACAGAACACCAGCAAGUAUGGGUAAGAAACAUAACCCUAACAUUGGGCAAGAUAGGAGGAAAAAACCCUCCUGCAGAACGCCAUCUUGGGCUUCGCCCAAGAAAAGUCAAAAGAAAAAAAAAUAAAAUAACCCUAACAUAACCCUAAUGUGUCAGAGCCACAAAGUGUCAAAACUAGCAUGCAAGGACUCGCUAAAGGAAUUAUCAAUUAAGAGAGCUGAAUUGCAACUCAAAAGGAAGAAAAGAAAAGAAAAGAAAAGGAAAGAAAGGAAACAAGACUCAGCACAGCGUCACACCAUCACGAGAGAGCCAUACCAUUACCAGAGAGAGAUGUCAUGAAUAAAUUGAAUUAAAGAAUAUCAAAGAAGAACAUCAAAAUGUCCAAUGAAUAUCCAAGGAUGUACAGGCGACAAAACAAGAAUCAAGAAGUCAAAAGGCGAUAAUGGAAUAAAUAGCGAUAACAGUGAUAACGUGGCAGAAUAAAAUAAAAUAUAAAAUAACCGAAUGGAAGCAACCAUAAAUAUAUAAACAUAUUAAUAUUAA